UCAGGGGUGACGGGCGCUCCCAGUUUGAAGGCAAGGUUUCCGAGAGAGCCAACUCAAGGAGUUCGCGGAAAAAGCUAACGACGGAAAGGAAAUCGGUGAGAUGGGUUUUGAUUGCCGAGAGGAAGCAGAAGCAGAGCCUGCAGCAAAUCAGUCGUAGCCAUGGACUUAGAAAGUGUGCCGAAGCAUCACACAAUCUGUUGCCCGCGAUCAGUCUCCGUCGGGGACGAUCCUGCGGAAUUAGGGCCGACAGUUCUGCUGAUUUAGGGCGGACGGUUCCGAACUGGAUUCUGUCAUCCGACUUCCUUUCCUGCGCGAUUGGAGCUCAUUCUUUUGCACCACCUAAAGUUUGAUAGACAUAGAUUUCGCAUUUUGUGGACCAUGCAUUGUGCAAUGAGGGACAAAGAAUGGGUGUUCAAAAAGCCAUAAAGAUCUUUGAAGACAAGGCCAUUCUUUGAAGAUAAGAAUGCAUCAUUUUAGAAUAUUCAUGUUGAGAUUGGUUUGUGAUUUAGUGUAUUACUAUGUAGUACACUUGUUUUCAAAUUUGAAUUCAUUAUGCUUUUAAAUGCUACUUUAAAAAAGUAGUUUUAAAAUGUA